rnacentral:lncRNA from 1 species
GCCAAAGCAACUCGAUCCAUUAAAUAGGUCGUUAGGGGACUGCUCAAGAAUUUCCACCUAAAAUUUCUUUCGGAGCCUGAGCCACCCUGAACCAUGCGUUAACAUCCAUUGAAAGUCGAAAAAAAUCCAUAAUUCCUGCCAUUUUCCCCAUUUGACUUGGAAGAUGGCUCCGCCAACCCCACCAAAGCAAUUCGAUCUAUUAAUGGGCCAUUAGGGGAUUGUCCGAAAAGUUUCACCUAAAAUUUCUUCUGAAGCCCGAGCCUAUACCACGAACCGUAGACUAAUA